AACGAACGCUGGCGGCGUGCUUAACACAUGCAAGUCGAACGAGAAAGCGGGCUUCGGUCCGCUAGUAAAGUGGCAGACGGGUGAGUAACACGUGGGUAACCUGCCCGGAGGUGGGGGACAACCCUCCGAAAGGAGGGCUAAUACCGCAUGAUAUCCCUGAGGCUUCGGCCUUGAGGAUCAAAGCUAGCCUCUACAUGUAAGCUAGCUCCACCGGAGGGGCCCGCGGCCCAUUAGCUAGUUGGNGAGGUAACGGCUCACCAAGGCGACGAUGGGUAGCCGGCCUGAGAGGGUGUUCGGCCACACUGGAACUGAGACACGGUCCAGACUCCUACGGGAGCAGCAGUGAGGAAUCUUGCGCAAUGGGCGAAAGCCUGACGCAGCGACGCCGCGUGGAGGACGAAGGUCUUCGGAUCGUAAACUCCUGUCAAGUGGGACGAAGGCUGUUGGGAUGAAUAAGCCCAGCAGUUGACGGUACCGCU
rnacentral:rRNA from 1 species